CCGAUAGCAUCGGCGGCUCGGCGGACGUCCGGGUCCAAACGGCCCGUCGCGGAAGGCGUCAAAAACCUUCCGCGACGGCGAGUCGUGUCCGGCUCGUCGGAGUCCGAGCAUGCGAGUUGGUACCCGAAAGAUGGUGAACUAUGCCCCGCCAGGGCGAAGUCGGAGGAAACUCCGGUGGAGGCCCGAAGCGGUUCUGACGUGCAAAUCGAUCGUCGGAGCGAGGUAUA
rnacentral:rRNA from 1 species